AACAAUCACAGAUGAGGGUGGUCAGUGCUGGCCAACAAGCCCUGCCUCUGCAUUUGAACUCAUGAACCAGAACCAACCCAAACACGUGACAUGGCUUUUUUAAAAUUCCCCAGAUUCAGUAUGUCCUUGCUUAUUCAGAUUUCACCAAUUUGAAAUUGGUGAGAAUUGCGUCAGAGGUCUGAUUGCAGUUUACCUUUACAGCAUCUCCGAUGGAAGGGCUUGCUGAGCAAAUGAUGACCGUGAACAAGAUUACAGGGGAGUGGAGUUUAAAGUACUGCAGAGGGCAAAUUGCUUGGGAGUCCUCUGGGCAAUGGUUGAUGUCCUAAGUACAAAUCAUUCUUCGCUAUUCAUUAAAGUAGGUGCCCUAAAGAGUCCUAGCAGCUUGGUUCCAGUGAUUAUAUGUAUUUGCAAGUGAUGAAAACAGCAUUUCUUUUCACAUAGCCUAUAAUUCAAACCUUUGAUUCGUUUCCACUGGAUGUGCCUCUAAUGAAGGCAAAGUGAGGUUUCACUUUACGUAUUUCAAAUCUUCUUCAUCUUUGGCAUAACUCUAAGUGACUCUGCUUUCCAAAAAGAACACUAACGCAGGAUGGGGAAGGGAAGAGGGGCAAACUGUACUUAAUUACUGACACCUGCUACCUGUGAGCUCAACCUGUGAGCUAUAAGUUAUAGAACCUCCUGGCACCCCCGAUUCCUCGCAGGUAAAAUGGGGAUAAGUUCAGCACUUACCUCAUAUUCUGAUCAAUAUCCCUAACAAUAUUUGAAAUUCAGCCUUUCCUUACAUCCUGUCCUGACUCUGCCACUUCCUAACUGUUUAAUCUUAGACAUGCUAUUUACCUCUCUGGGCCUCAAUUUCCUCAUCUGUAAAAUGAGGAUAAUAAUAGUACUUACUUCUUAACAUUGAAUAAUGCAUAUAAAUAGCAUAGCAGAGAGCCUGGCAUAUACUAAGUGCUCUGUAAGUGGCAGUCUUCAUCAUUGUAAUUAUUAAUAUUAUUAUUGCCAUAGGACCAGAAGCACAGUUGUGUGAAUUCUUCCUCUGUGGGCUGGAUUAGCACUAGGUUUGCCCCAGGAUUAGGCAGCACAGAAUGAGUGAAUGAGCAUGAGAUUGCUGCUGAGAAGCUCUUUCAAGUCCUCUUUGGGGCUCUCUCAGAAAAUAAUAUCUAUCUCCGCUCACAGCAGUGACAUGAUGUCGGAGCUACAGAUUUGAACUGAAUCAUGAACCAGAAACCGGAAGAAACCACAAAACUUUGCUGUACCCCAAACCAAAUCCAAAUAUUAAUUUUUAAGUUGAACCAUGAACCAAAUAAAAUGAACCAAAAAAGAAAAAAGAAAAAAAGGAGUAGGGAAAAGGAGAAAAAAAUUCUUAGUAAUCUAACUAGAAGUGAACCUUUAUGUUUUAUAAGAUGAACUAAAGCAGAGCUGGAAUAUGAACACAUUGAUUCAGUUGGAGUCCCUGGAGAAGAAACAGCAGCACCUCGUGUGCCUGUGAUACUUGGCUGCUGCCCGCCUGCUGUCCUGAUGGGAUGUGCCCUGUGACUCCUCCUCCAUCCCUCUACCCCCAUCCCCAUCCUGGGAACCGAUCAACAGCUGGAGCCAUCCUGGGGGACCAGAAGGCUCAGUUUCAUGGAUGAGAGGAAAGCAAUAGAAUACAGUCCUCUUUAGGCAAGGGAGAAACAGCUGUGCCCCCUUUUGGAGCCCCAGUGAGUGUCCAGCAUUUGUCUGCAGCUUCCAGAACGUCGGAAUGUUCCUUGAAUGGUACAUUUGUUCCAGUUGAGAGUUCGAGGGAUGGGCAGGGGUGGGGCUGGGAACUGAAGACGGGUGAAGGGAGGUGGGUGUUGUUCAGAGCCCCACACCUGCUUUUGCUAAUUCCAGGCAGCAGGGCUGGCUGUUUCACCCUGACUGAGCUGAAUUAGAAACAUAAACUACAAAGGAGAGAAUUCUCAGCCAAAGGGGCCUUUAGAAGGCAUGACCAUCGACUUUAGCAACCUAGACCCUUGGCACUGGGAGACUCUUAUUUUAUCCAUAGAGUUAUCUAUUUUUUUUCUUCUGUGGGUUAACUGAAUUCAAACCAGCAGCUGCUCUUUUCCUGGGAUGUUCAGAGACUAUGGCGAGUGUGAAUUUUACCACAAGCUAAAUCUCCUGAGAAGGAUCAACAUUAAUAAUUCAAGAGGCAGUGAUCCUGUUACAUGAAGUGCUAGAGAACUUUGCAGACAAGCCCAUCCAACGUAUGGUAAAGGAGUCCUGGACACCAAGCCAAAAGCAAAGGACACCCGACUGGGGCAUUGGGACAACUGGGACUUACUCCAACU